rnacentral:tRNA from 1 species
CCAUCGGUGGUUCAGUAUUAGAAUGCUCGCCUGCCACGCUGGCGGCCCGGGUUCGAUUCCCGGCCGAUGCA